ACUCCUACGGGAGGCAGCAGUGGGGAAUAUUGCACAAUGGGCGCAAGCCUGAUGCAGCAACGCCGUGUGAGUGAAGAAGGUUUUCGGAUCGUAAAACUCUGUCCUAAGGGAAGAAACAAAUGACGGUACCUUAGGAGGAACGCCCCGGCUAACUACGUGCCAGCAGCCGCGGUAAUACGUAGGGGCAAGCGUUAUCCGGAAUCACUGGGCGUAAAGGGUGCGUAGGCGGCUUAGCAAGCCAGGGGUGAAAGGCAUUGGCUCAACCAAUGUAAGCCUUUGGAACUGUUAGGCUUGAGUGCAGGAGAGGUAAGUGGAAUUCCUAGUGUAGAGGUGAAAUUCGUAGAUAUUAGGAGGAACACCAGUGGCGAAGGCGACUUACUGGACUGUAACUGACGCUGAUGCACGAAAGCGUGGGUAGCGAACAGGAUUAGAUACCCUGGUAGACUGUCA
rnacentral:rRNA from 1 species